AAGGAAUAUUGGACAAUGGAGGCAACUCUGAUCCAGCCAUGCCGCGUGAAGGAAUAAGGCCCUAUGGGUUGUAAACUUCUUUUAGACGGGACAAAACCCCUUUACGUGUAAAGGGUUGAUGGUACUGUCAGAAUAAGCACCGGCUAACUCCGUGCCAGCAGCCGCGGUAAUACGGAGGGUGCGAGCGUUAUCCGGAUUUACUGGGUUUAAAGAGUGCGUAGGUGGGCUUAUAAGUCAGUGGUGAAAUCUCCGAGCUUAACUUGGAAACUGCCGUUGAUACUAUAGGUCUUGAAUUAUCUGGAGGUAAGCGGAAUAUGUCAUGUAGCGGUGAAAUGCUUAGAUAUGACAUAGAACACCAAUUGCGAAGGCAGCUUACUACAUAUAAAUUGACGCUGAGGCACGAAAGCGUGGGGAUCAAACA
rnacentral:rRNA from 1 species